rnacentral:rRNA from 1 species
AAGCGUUAAUCGGAAUUACUGGGCGUAAAGGGAGCGUAGGUGGCUCGAUAAGUCAGAUGUGAAAUCCCCGGGCUCAACCUGGGAACUGCAUCUGAUACUGUUGAGCUAGAGUAUGUGAGAGGAAGGUAGAAUUCCAGGUGUAGCGGUGAAAUGCGUAGAGAUCUGGAGGAAUACCGAUGGCGAAGGCAGCCUUCUGGCAUAAUACUGACACUGAGGCUCGAAAGCGUGGGUAGCAAACAGGAUUAGAUACCCUGGUAGUCCACGCCGUAAACGAUGUCUACUAGUCGUUGGGUCCCUUGAGGACUUAGUGACGCAGCUAACGCAAUAAGUAGACCGCCUGGGGAGUACGGCCGCAAGGUUAAAACUCAAA